AGACGUCUACAUUAGAUACCCGCGUAGUCCCAGCCGUAAACUAUGCGCGUUAGGUGUAUCGGUGACCACGAGUUACCGAGGUGCCGAAGGGAAACCGUGAAACGUGCCGCCUGGGAAGUACGGUCGCAAGGCUGAAACUUAAAGGAAUUGGCGGGGAGCACCACAACAGGUGGAGCCUGCGGUUUAAUUGGACUCAACGCCGGGAAGCUCUCCGGAUAAGACAGCGGAAUGAUUGCCGGGCUGAAGACUCUGCAUGACUAGCUG
rnacentral:rRNA from 1 species